rnacentral:rRNA from 1 species
CUCCAGACUCCUACGGGAGGCAGUAGUGAGGAAUAUUGGUCAAUGGCCGAGAGGCUGAACCAGCCAAGUCGCGUGAGGGAAGACGGCCCUACGGGUUGUAAACCUCUUUUGUCGGGGAGCAAAGCGAACCACGUGUGGUUCAUUGAGAGUACCCGAAGAAAAAGCAUCGGCUAACUCCGUGCCAGCAGCCGCGGUAAUACGUAGGUGGCGAGCGUUGUCCGGAUUUACUGGGUGUAAAGGGCGCGUAGGCGGAUUUGCAAGUCAGAUGUGAAAUACCGGGGCUUAACUCCGGAACUGCAUUUGAAACUGUAGACCUUGAGUGCCGGAGAGGAAAGCGGAAUUCCUAGUGUAGCGGUGAAAUGCGUAGAUAUUAGGAGGAACACCAGUGGCGAAGGCGGCUUUCUGGACGGUAACUGACGCUGAGGCGCGAAAGUGUGGGUAGCAAACAGGAUUAGAUACCCUUGUAC